rnacentral:rRNA from 1 species
UACGGGGGGGGGCAAGCGUUGUUCGGAAUUACUGGGCGUAAAGGGCGCGUAGGCGGCCUGCUAAGUCGGACGUGAAAUCCCCCGGCUCAACCGGGGAACUGCGUCCGAUACUGGUGGGCUCGAAUCCGGGAGAGGGAUGUGGAAUUCCAGGUGUAGCGGUGAAAUGCGUAGAUAUCUGGAGGAACACCGGUGGCGAAGGCGGCAUCCUGGACCGGCAUUGACGCUGAGGCGCGAAAGCUAGGGGAGCAAACGGGG